UGGGGCUGUGGCUCAGCGGUAGAGCACUCAUCUAGCAUAUGCAAGGUGCUUGGUUCAAUCCUUAGCACCACAA
rnacentral:tRNA from 1 species